GACGGAGGGUGCAAGCGUUGUUCGGAUUGACUGGGCGUAAAGGGUGCGUAGGCGGUCGGGUAAGUCUGAUGUGAAAUCUCACAGCUUAACUGUGAAACUGCAUUGGAUACUAUCCGGCUCGAGGAAUGGAGGGGAGACUGGAAUACUUGGUGUAGCAGUGAAAUGCGUAGAUAUCAAGUGGAACACCAGUGGCGAAGGCGAGUCUCUGGACAUUUCCUGACGCUGAGGCACGAAAGCCAGGGGAGCAAACGGG
rnacentral:rRNA from 1 species